rnacentral:rRNA from 1 species
GGCGAACGCUGGCGGCGUGCCUAAUACAUGCCAGUUGAGCGCUGAAGGUUGGUACUUGUACCAACUGGAUGAGCAGCGAACGGGUGAGUAACGCGUGGGGAAUCUGCCUUUGAGCGGGGGACAACAUUUGGAAACGAAUGCUAAUACCGCAUAAAAACUUUAAACACAAGUUUUAAGUUUGAAAGAUGCAAUUGCAUCACUCAAAGAUGGUCCCGCGUUGUAUUAGCUAGUUGGUGAGGUAAAGGCUCACCAAGGCGAUGAUACAUAGCCGACCUGAGAGGGUGAUCGGCCACAUUGGGACUGAGACACGGCCCAAACUCCUACGGGAGGCAGCAGUAGGGAAUCUUCGGCAAUGGACGAAAGUCUGACCGAGCAACGCCGCGUGAGUGAAGAAGGUUUUCGGAUCGUAAAACUCUGUUGGUAGAGAAGAACGUUGGUGAGAGUGGAAAGCUCAUCAAGUGACGGUAACUACCCAGAAAGGGACGGCUAACUACGUG